rnacentral:rRNA from 1 species
GAGUUUGAUCGUGGCUCAGGGUGAACGCUGGCGGCGUGCUUAAGACAUGCAAGUCGAACGGUCCCUUCGGGGAUAGUGGCGCACGGGUGAGUAACGCGUAACUGACCUACCCCAAAGUCGCGGAUAACGAUUCGAAAGAAUCGCUAAUACGUGAUGUGCUGUCAGAUUGUGUUCUGCCAGUAAAGAUUUAUUGCUUUGGGAUGGGGUUGCGUUCCAUCAGCUAGUUGGUGGGGUAAAGGCCUACCAAGGCGACGACGGAUAGCCGGCCUGAGAGGGUGGCCGGCCACAGGGGCACUGAGACACGGGUCCCACUCCUACGGGAGGCAGCAGUUAGGAAUCUUCCACAAUGGGCGAAAGCCUGAUGGAGCGGCGCCGCGUGAGGGACGAAGGUCUUCGGAUUGUAAACCUCUGAAUCAGGGACGAAGACGCGUAAGCGGGAUGACGGUACCUGAGUAAUAGCACCGG